rnacentral:rRNA from 2 species
ACAAUGGAUCUCUUGGUUCUCGCAACGAUGAAGAACGCAGCAAAAUGCGAUAAGUAAUGUGAAUUGCAGAAUACGUGAAUCAUCAAAUCUUCGAACGCAUAUUGCACUUUUCUAGUUUACUAGAAAAGUAUGUCUGUUUGAGU